CGAUAACGAACGAGACCUUAACCUACUAAAUAGUGCUGCUAGCAUUUGCUGGUAUAGUCACUUCUUAGAGGGACUAUCGAUUUCAAGUCGAUGGAAGUUUGAGGCAAUAACAGGUCUGUGAUGCCCUUAGACGUUCUGGGCCGCACGCGCGCUACACUGACGGAGCCAGCGAGUAUAAACCUUGGCCGAGAGGUCUGGGAAAUCUUGUGAAACUCCGUCGUGCUGGGGAUAGAGCAUUGUAAUUGUUGCUCUUCAACGAGGAAUUCCUAGUAAGCGCAAGUCAUCAGCUUGCGUUGAUUACGUCCCUGCCCUUUGUACACACCGCCCGUCGCUACUACCGAUUGAAUGGCU
rnacentral:rRNA from 1 species